rnacentral:rRNA from 1 species
CCUACGGGUGGCAGCAGUAGGGAAUUUUCGUCAAUGGGCGCAAGCCUGAACGAGCGAUGCCGCGUGAGUGAAGAAGGCCUUCGGGUCGUAAAGCUCUGUUGCGGGGGAAACAAGGCAGCAUCAGGAAAUGGGUGCUGACUGAUGGUGCCCCGCCAGAAAGUGACGGCUAACUACGUGCCAGCAGCCGCGGUAAUACGGAGGUGGCGAGCGUUAUCCGGAAUGGUUGGGCGUAAAGGGUGCGCAGGCGGUCCUGCAAGUCUGGAGUCAAACGCAUGAGCUCACCACAUGCAGGGCUUUGGAAACUGGAGGACUGGAGAGCAGGAGAGGUAGGUGGAACGCGAGGUGUAGCGGUAAAAUGCGUAGAUAUAUGGAAGAACACCAGUGGCGAAGGCGGCAGCCUGGCCUGUUGCUGACGCUGAGGCACGAAAGCGUGGGGAGCAAAUAGGAUUAGAUACCCCAGUAGUC